UUUUUUUUUGUGAUUUACGAAUGCCAUAUAUAAUAACGUUUGGUGCAUUUUACUCAUUAUUUAAACCUGCGUAAGUUUCUUUUUUGUUAUUGCUGUCAUAGAUAGCUCCCAUAAGGAGGAACGAGAUAACAACAAACAAUCAAGAUUAAACAUCAGUUCAAGUUUUAUGAGAUCGGUCUCAACACAACCUGAGAGAUAUGAAAGAGCAUAACGGGCCAUUUUAUAGGGGCUCUGGUGGCGGCACAUCUGACCACCUGCAAGCGCUGGCACGCUGUAAAAAAAGCAAGAAUCUCUACACACACUGAAUGCUCUUUCUGGAUAGCUUGGAAAUGACCAUCUUUGCAUCCCCUUCAAUGUGAACCUGUCAAACGUCAAACCGAAUGUACCAAGAAAAUGCGCAACGGGUGAUCAAGAGCUCCAACACAUGAAGAUAAAGGAGUUAAGUGCACGCCGCCCAAUACUCUAUAGGAAAACUUCAUCGACGUUUCAAACAACUAAAUCCACGCAUUACCGGAUGGAUCUACCGCCACCUCAUCCACACUAAUUAAUACGAGGCGAGUGGGGGUACACAAAAUGCCACAAUGACAGUCUUGGAGAUGCUGCGAAACAACAACAUUUAUUCUUAAUAUCUACAAAUUAAAAUUACAAUCUUUAAUUACCAAAGCUUAUUUGAGUUGUAUAAAAGUAAGUGACUCCAAAAAGCUAAAAAAAAGGGUAAAUUAUUAGAAUAAGAAAUAUGCAAUUGUGGUAUGAUUGCUAUAUGACAACUUAGUGAUACUAUUACUUUGUAUUUAUAGGUAAUCACACGCUCUUAAUGUAUGACAAAUUAUUGAUAUCAUUACACUAUUUUUAUUAUAUUAAUUGGGUGAGCUUUACUAGGUGCAUGAAUAAUUUCCCCAUUCAUGAAUAUAAUAGGCCUAACGAAUUAAAUGUGUGAAUAAUUUUCACAUUCACGAAUAAGCCUAAUAGAGGUGAAUAAAUAUCUAAAGAGAACAUAUAAUGAACACAAAUGAAUGUAGUAAACACCUGGGCUACGGACCUGCACCAAUAACGGACCAGAUCCGACGAGAAAGAUCCCAACACCCGAAGGUUAGGUCGCACAAGCAACACGGUGAUAACGACGGUAACGUUAGAACCACAUAAAAUCAUAAUAUUCCAUGAUAGUAUUAGUGUAAAUCAAUAUUUUUUUGAAGCAAGCAAGUGUAAAUAAUAUAUUUAAUGGAAAAAAAAGAGUGAACACCAACAUCUUGAAUAUGAGGAGAUUAGGAGUCGUAACUGACACCAGCAAUAAUUCUAGCUUCGUGAAUAGGGGGGAAUGAGGAGACGUAACCAACACCAGCAACCGAGGAGGCACGGAGGAAGGACCGUUUGAAUUCUCCCGGUCAGAGCGAUUGGAUCUCGGGGCCAACUGGUCGGCGGAGUAAUUCUACGAAGCCGAUACGGACGGAGCCCGGCGGCGGCGAGGAUCAUGAUGAAUUUUUGUGUGGGCGACGGCAACGACAUAAGUCCUAGGGAUAGAGCAACCGUCCCGGAGAAAAAGCAGGAAGAGGAAGGCCCUCUUUAUUGCUUCCCUACAGAGGGCUUCUUCUUGUAAAUCCUGCAGAGGACCGAAUCAUCCAAUCGCAUGGUUCCGUUGCGCUUGAUAAUUUGCUUCCUGGAAUCGGAGAGGCGGUACUCGUGCAUGAUCCAGUCGGUCAACUGGAACUGAAGAUCUCUCUCCAAUUAAAGGGUCGCAACGUUGCGAGGCCUGAGACAUGAAAUGCAAAAGGGUGCGCCGUCGACGGCACUACUUCCCGCACCUGAAGGACUUCCCUCUGUUGCUCUUCUGGACUCGCUGCUUCAGCCUUGACCGUUCACUCGUUAAAAUUUCAAACCAAACAAAGAAUUGCAAUUCCUGAUAAUAUUAAUACCCAGAUUUCGAAUCCCUAGCACUUAGUCACAUAUAACAGUUGCAAAUUGGAAAGAAGGGACAUAGUAAGAAGCACAAUCGGAGAUGAAAAUGGGAAAGCCGUUGGGGACAACAGGAGAAUUCUUCCGGCGAAGGGAUGAAUGGAGGAAGCAUCCCAUGCUCACCAAACCGUUCUAUCUUUUACGAAUCGAAACGUAUAAAAAAAAAACCUACGCAAGUUUCAGUCACUUUUGUAGGGUGAUCAUAAAUCUUAAAUCUAGAGUGAAUUUAAUGUGUGAAAACCUAGUGUUCCUCACUAUUGAAAUGCGUCAUUAACUCAUUAAUUUGUGUUUAAUUUUCAUUAUGUAGUUUUCCAUUUUUCAUAUAUCUAAAAAUAAAUUUUAUCGAAUAUUUAGUGUGCAUUUAGUUCAUAAUCAUAUAUACGUAAUCCCAAUAGAAACAAAAAUACAUUGAUAGAUUGCAUUGAACGUCGAUCCAUAGCAUAAACACUUAAGAGCUACAUACAAAUAACUCUCAACUAUUAUUUCCUUCUCCACCAACAUCAUUAUUCAACCAUCAAGCAUAUACGUCGUCGUUGCAUUCAUCUCCGCGCUCCUCAAUAAACACUGUCAAAAAAACAUAAUCAACAAAAAAAAAUACAUUAGCAAACUGCUUAAUAAAAAGCAAAAAGAAUUAAUAAGAUAUAAUUAUAAGAGUCUCAAUCUAUUCGGACAAAAAAAAGGUAUAGUUACGAGUUGCAAUCGGUGUUGGGGCUGAUCUCGUAAGGAAUGUGGACCCCACAUUGGCCGGGGAGGGCACUGGCAAGCGGGACCUGCAAGCCAGGGACACCGGCGGCGGCAGUCUUCAAGCACUGGCAAGCCUGCCGGCGGUCAGCGGUGGUGACGGCGGCGUUGUUCAGGGCCCUCACGCCGCUGCAGCAAGGAGCAGAGACCUGCCCGCCGCCGACCAAGUAAUAGACGCAAGGGGACAGGCUGCUCAUUACUUGCAUGCACGUGAUGGCGCCGUCGGUCGGCCUUAUCGGUGCAGACAUGACAAGGAUGGAGACGACGAGGAAUGACGUAGUCGGCAUCGUCAUCUUCAGAGCGGCAGCCAUUGUUGGAGGUUUAAUUUGGGGAGGUAAGUGAGUAAGGCGAGGUUAUAAGGUCUGUGCUCUUAUAUAUAUAUAGAGAGAGAGAAUUACGAGAGUAAAAAAGAACUCGAUUAGUUUUGAUUCUAACCAAACCGGUUGAUGAGUGGCUGAUUUCGAUUCGGUGGGGUGGGGUUGUUAAAACGUCACUAAGUUGAUUGGGGUCCAGGCAAUUAUGAAUUUGCCUAUUGAGGGUUGAAAUGCCGGUUUAAUACAUGAUGCCUAAUGUGGGCAAUUCAUGACUGGUACUUGAAAUCGUCUAGAGCGAUGUCGGUUAUAUAUAGUACUCUGACAAGUAAUUCAACUACCAGUCAUAAAUUAACUAUGAAUGAGAAGUAAUUCGAAAUCUAAAAGUGAUUUUCCGUUUAUAUUCUCUUGUAUCUAUAAGAAAAACUCACUAAAAAUUUCUACAAUCAUGCCCUCACCCUCACUCUCUUAAUGUCCAGUUAGCGAACUGAUUUUAUGGAGAGAAUCGAAGACUUUCGAUUAAAUCCAACCAAAUCGUUUUACCUUUGCAUUUUCCAACAAUGUUUGCACAUAAUUGAGUUAAUAAUAAGUAAUAAUCAUAUAUGAUCUGUCAAUAACACGUACAUAAUUUUUCAAUCUAGCGAUUCACAUUCAUUGGUCACACAAACACAUUACUCACUGUUUCACUUUGAAUUGAAUUAAUAAACUGCGAAUUAAGAUUAGUCUAAAUGUUUAAAUUUUUUUUGAAGAUUUUAAAUCAGAAAUUUUUUGGAGAACCCUUUUUUAAAUAUCAAACUCGUUUUCAAAUAGUUUCUAACUCAAACAGAAAAAUUUGGUCCGAUUUUAACAACACAACCCACAAAUGAAAAGACACAUUAUUAUUUAUUCAUUGCAAGAUACGAAAACACCGACAUAACAAUAUAACCAUCAUCAGUCGAUAUUAUUUUGUAUACAUAAGUAAUCAUUUAUUAUUUGUUCGCAUCACUCUCUUAUGUAUAUAGUUCACAUAAGCUAUCGCCACUACUAAUACGGCGCCGCUUCCUUCUUUCCCCGUUGACUACAUUCCUCACUGCACACUGUCCAAAUUCCAAACAAACCAAAAACAGAGUAAUUAGUAGCAAGGUCCAAUAUCUACGAUGCUUCAAUGUACAUACUACAUCGAAAUAUAUUGAAUACGAAAUGUACCAAAUCACAUAUAUCUCUCACUAGCAAAUCACUACCGAAACUAGAGGUAGGCUACUAAUCUAGAUUACGAGCGAUGGAAUUCUACGUAAAUGUCUUGAAAUUUAAAUUUCUAUGGAAUUCUUGGAAUUGACCUUCAAAUUUGAAAUUUUAUGAGAAAUAGUAAUACGUAGGUGUUGCAGUUGGUCCUGGUGCUGACCUUGUACGGGAUGUUGACGCGACAAGCACGCGGCAUGUUAGCGGCGUUGGCCUCACUCAGGCCGGAGAUCCCGGCAGUGGCGGACUUCAGACACUAGCAAGCCUGCCGGCGGUCCGAGGUGGUCCUAGCCUGACCAAUGAGGGUCCUUAUUCCAUUGCAGCAUGCCUGUGGGACAGUCCCACCGGACUUCAGGUAGUUAACGCACGGGGCCAUAUUGUUCGCAACCUGGCCGCACGUGAUCGCACCAUGGCGCAGACCAAGAGCACAGUAACCAGCUUCAUUGCACUCGCAGCCAUUGUUUUGUUAAACGUACGUAGGAAAAGCUUAUAGAAGUUGUGUGUGUAUCGAGAAAUGGGAGUUAAGCUAGGGUUUAUAUAGUGUGGGGAGGAGCUUGGGUGAUGCGCUGGAGGUGAAGACUAAAAGGGGAAGAUGAAAAGUGGAGAUCGUAGGUGGUGGGUCGGUCGACGGUAAGAAAACAGAACCUAGAACACAACCACCCGGAUCGAAAAUGAAGGCAUUCCAGUCGCAGAGCUUUGACGCAGAGAACACUCCGGAAGCCUUCAGCCAGAUCCCCAUUGUCGAGAAACUCUUCCCGCAAACGAACUCAGCCGGUUUUUCCUCGGCCUUAAAUAUUCCCGCAUUCCUUUCAAGUCAAACAAACCACAUAACAACGUGCAUGAUUAGCUUUGUUGCUUCGCCAAACUUGGAGAGGCAGUUCAUUCCUUUCCAAGACGAGAUGACAGCCUCAAUCGACGAAAGCAUCACGUGCAAGGAGAGUUUUGAACUAACUCUGUCCCAAACAACCAUAGCGAAUUUACAUCGUAAGACAAUAUGAUCCACCAUCUCGACAUCUUUCCGGCACAACACACAACAGUUUGCAAGCUGAAACCCGCGCCUCUGAAGGUUGUCCAAAGUGGCAGCCCUGUUAAGGAACACCUUCCAGCAAAAACCUUGAACCUUUGGUGGAGCGCUCUGUUCCCAAAUCAUCGCAAAAGGGAAAUCUGCCCGCCCCGAAAACUUCUCCCGAGUAAGAGCCUGUCGCAUAGAUCUGAUGGAGAACCUCAAAGACGCUUCCAAAGACAAAACAAUCGAGCUUGGCCCUGCUGUAAUAUGGUCUUCAGGGAUACUUGUCAGGCGCUGUAAAAGACGAUGAACCCCCACAAUGGCGCCCCCUCUGAGGGUAGUAGUGAGGGGAAUAUGCCACAACCGCCUGUUAUCAAAAGUACAGAGAUCAGAAACACAAACUUCUAAGGAUUGUGUAGCUGCAUCAAUCUUUGGAUACUCAUCCAACAACCUCACUCCCAAAACCCAAAAGUCAAAUAAAAAAGAACAUAUCCCACCCCCCAAAUCGAUAGAGCAGAAAUUCCAGAACUGUACUUGUAGACACAAUAAUAAUUGUCUUUGAUAACAUUUAUCCAACAUCAUCAAUCAUUAAAGCUUUGUGUUGUUUUUCGAGGUAUCAAAGUAUUUUCCAUAUAUAUAACGUUAGCUUAAUUAUAUAUAACUUAGAUUAAUCAGAUUAUAUAUUGAUUCUCACGUUUGGUUAAAAAAAAAACUUUUGAAAUAUGCAUGGAUUGUUAACAUGUUUUAAAAAAGUAAUGAUAUAUUUUAGUAUAUGGUACUAAAGGAAAAAUAUUAGUAAAAUUUCCAUGAAAAAAUUAUAUAUAAGAAAUUUUUUUCUAUAUUUGAGUGAUCACUUAAACCAAUUUGGUAAAAAUCUAGAUGCUAUAUGUCGCCCUUGCCAAGGGGAGAGAAACUGAGAGCAGUCGUUGUCUCUGUACUCCUCAAUAUUCACUCCUGGAUGCAGGCGGGAUGGAAGUAGUGGUCACAGCUGAGGACUGCGACCAACUCUUCGUCCCCGAAGGGUUCCAGGCAAAACGAACAUACCUUUUCUGCCUCACGGCCAGGGACUAUUUCCCUGGCUUCACGAUACGCCAUAUAUCUGAUCGGUCGCCGUGAUCGUCAUCUACGAGGAAGAGGAGGAGGAGUGAGCUCUAGCUCGAACUCUGGUGGCACAGGAUUAGGUCGAGUCAUCUUCCACGCGAUUGCACUAAAGAUCCCGAGCAUCACGGCUGCGAUCACAACAACCGCCGCCGUUUGGAGGGUGGUUAAAUUGGCAGGGCUUUGCACCGUGGCCCCAUUGCCAUUGAAACUGGGAGCAAUGUUUGACAUGAUCAAGAGUGAACAACUAUAAGAUCUAAUGCAGAGAAGAUUGAAGAGAGUACGUUGCAGUGGGGAAGGUAGGGAAUUUUGCUAACUGACUAGUUUUGGAUGAUAGAUCAAAUCGAACAAUACUCUUGUAAAUUAAUUGGUAAAUUAAUUGGUAGCUUUUGAAAUAUACAAAUAGUACCUAAUAAAAAAUAAACGAAUGGUACCAUUUAAAAUCGAACAGAACUCUUUUAGGAAGAAGAGUUUGAGACGAUGUUUAUAACGUGUUAUAUGCAACAUCGACAAAGUAGACAGAUUGAGGAGGACGGACGACUAAUGUCCAUUCGGAAGAUGUGCAGACGUGAGUAGAAUAGAAAGGUUGCAGGCAGUUUAAUGAAUGUCUCUCGAAUAACCUAUACUGUAUCGAUUAUUGAAUCGACAUAUCGUAGUGCACGACAUGAGUUGCGUUUGGCAUGAACCAAUUGGCCUCCAUAAAUUGGUUUCUCUAAAUUUCAACCAUCUGACAUCCACGAUAGUCAACAACCAAACAAUAAACCUAAACAACAUUGCAUGCUGACUGUGUAUCUAAAUCCCUGGUUCAUUAUCCUACUCAACAAGCCGUCAUCCACGUCAUUAAUACUUACGAUUCCAUCAAAUCUUAGUUAACGGACCAGACGGAGACUGAAAAAACUGUGCUAUAAAAUGUAUUUUCAAUAAAAUCGAGUCAUUUUCUGUAAUAUUGUUAUAGGUUAGGCUUCUUAAGUAAGAUUAUUAAAAGCCAAAUUAAAAUUAACAGGGAAAAGAUGGUAUCAUCGAGGAAGAAUUGCAAAACCACAGAACCAAAGGGAGAGAAAGGUAAAUUUCACGAAGAACAGAAAUAUUCGUAGAACUCUUCCAUUUCAUCGUCGACUUCAUCAUCGCCGGAAACCGCAAAGGCCUACUUUCACCGUCGUUUGUUUUUCCCUCGUUCGAUCGAAGUUCAUCUCAAUCUUCCUUGAUUCCCCCGUUGCUCUCGACGACGUGAUGGUUGUGCCGUCACAUCCAACGCCGACGGUUACUUCCAGAGCCGUAUUCGCGUCGUUUUGAUAUAUUACUGUUUAUCGCUUUGUUUUGUCUUUACUUUGCGGCAUGGGAGAUCUUCGACCGUGGUCACCGGAACUUAAUGGCGACGUUGUCGAGGAAAGGCCGUCGUCCUCGUCUUCUUUUUCUUCGUUUUCAUCGCCGCCGCUGACGAUUGAUGCGGCGAACUGGAAGAUUGCUGAGGCGGCGACGCAGCUUAUCAUAGCGAAAGUUCAGCCUACUAAUGUCUCGGAGGAGAGGAGAAAAGCUGUUGUUGAUUACGUCCAGCGUCUGAUUAGAAAUUCCAUUGGCUGCGAGGUGCAUUACUUGUUGUUUCUCUUCAUUUACUGACCUGUUAUCAAUAAUUUUGUUGCUGUAUCAUGUAUCUAAGUUCAUGAAUCGAUGGAGCAGUAGGCAACAGUUGAACUGAUUUCGGUUUGGAGUUAACAAUUUCGGAGGAUGUAAUGGUUUAGUUUCCAGUACUUGACAAUGCUGAAGAGUUGGGAAGUCCAGCAUUUGCCAUAUCAUGACAAUAAUCUAAGAGUUAGGGAGAACUGAUGUAGGUGGCUCUUCAUUGACAUUGUGAAUGGAUGAAUGUAGAAGUUCUGUAUCUGUUAGCUAUUCUGUUGUAGAAACGUUUUGAUUGUGUUAUACUGACUUAUACUUGGUACAGGUGCUCCCUUUUGGGUCAGUGCCAUUGAAAACUUAUCUUCCUGAUGGGGAUAUCGAUUUGACGGCCUUUGGUGGUCUGAAUAUGGAGGAAUCACUUGCCAACGAUGUGCGAUCGAUCCUCGAGUUAGAAGAUCAUAACAAGGCUGCAGAGUUUGUUGUAAAAGAUGUGCAAUUGAUUAGGGCGGAGGUAUCUCAUACAAUUCAUGUUCAUGCUGGGAUAUACAUUGUCUUUCUUGCGUGUAUCGUUUCUCUUAAAAAGGGAACACUGUAAUUUUGCGAGGCUCGUAAUGAAUCUUGCCGUAAUUGGACUCCUAUGCUUGUGUUCUAUGCUUUAAUAGGAUUUCUGUUCUUUUCUUCUUUUUAUAACUGUGUUUAGUUAUGAUCUGAUUCCUUAAGAAGUUGGACCACCAGAUCAACUGAUAUGUUUAUUUGCCCUUAGGCGUGCGAACUUUUUUCUGUUAGUACUGAAGAUGCAGCUGAUGUUUCGUAUGUGAUCUUUCCAUGGUUUAACUUUUCUUGGGCUUGUUAUAUUGUGUUUCUCCUGUGCAGGUUAAGCUCGUAAAAUGCCUGGUGCAGAACAUUGUUGUUGAUAUUUCCUUUAACCAAUUAGGAGGUCUCUGUACUCUAUGCUUUCUUGAGGAGGUAACUUUUUGAACUUUGAUUCUCAUAGGAGUGUUUUUCGCUAUCUCUUCAAAUAGUCGGUUUCUGCCUUUCUGGUAAUUUGAUCAUUAUGAUUAACCUAUUCCCUCUCAUUGGAGUCAAGCACUACCUGCUCGUGGAUUCACAUACGCUGACAUGCUCUAUAAAUAAUAAAAGUUUGUAGCUGAAGAUUCUAUUUUUAACGUUCAGAUGCUUUCUUUGAUUAACUGCAGGUAGACCGCCUGAUUGGAAAGGAUCAUCUUUUCAAACGAAGCAUUAUACUGAUCAAGGCAUGGUGCUAUUACGAAAGCCGCAUUCUUGGAGCACACCAUGGCCUAAUAUCUACAUAUGCUUUGGAAACAUUGGUUCUUUAUAUAUACCAUAUCUUCCACUCGUCACUAGAUGGUCCAUUGGCUGUGAGUCUUGUGAUAGCUUAUAUGGGUUUGCAGCAUUAUUUAUUUGGAUUUAGUUCCUGACAAUAUUUUUUUGUAGGUUUUGUAUAAAUUUCUAGACUAUUUUAGCAAAUUUGACUGGGAAAACUACUGCAUUAGUUUGAAUGGCCCAGUCCGAAUAUCCUCAUUGCCAGAAGUUGUAGGUGAGAAUAUAUCAACUACCCUAUGUUUCUUAAGUCGCUUUGCUUUUCUACUGAACAGAUUUCUUUGUUGUUUUUUGCAGUUGAUGUCGCUGACCAUGGUGGAUGUGAUCUACUGCUGAGUCAUGAGUUUAUCAAAAAGUGCGUGGACAGGUUUUCUGUUCCUUUUAGAGGAUCUGAGACAAACUCACGUAUGUUUCCAACGAAGCAUCUCAACAUUGUUGAUCCCUUGAAAGAAAACAAUAACCUUGGUCGGAGUGUGAGCAAAGGUAGAAAUUGGUCUAUUUCUUGUUUGAUUUCCUUCUUCUUAUCCUGCUGUCUACUAGAUUCGGAUAUACCUUAUUAUAAAUAAGUUUUAAUCCCUGCUGUCUCUGCAGGGAACUUUUACCGGAUAAAAAGUGCUUUCAGCUAUGGAGCUCGAAAGCUCGGUCUGAUUCUUUCGCAGCAAGAAGAAAAUGUAGCUGAUGAACUCUGCGGGUUUUUUUCCAACACUCUGGAUAGACAUGGCAAUGGUCAAAGACCUGAUGUUCAAGAUCCAUUACCCAUGGAUGGACACCAUGGACACAGUACCAGGUCAGCAUCUUCAGGUAAAGAAACUGGCCAAGACCACCAGAGAAAUUCUGAAGCAAGUGGCAAAAAUGGCAUCAGUGUUAAGUUAUCAGAUAUGGGAGCGAAAUGCAGCAAAGACACCACUGAAGCAGGCAAAAUGGAAAAUGGUAGUUUGUUUUCUCACCACCGUCUUUCCGGUGAUGCAGAAGAUCUGGCAUCUGCUAGAAUUCAACACCUUUCCAUUUCCGGCGAUGGACUGAUACAUUCUAGUACAAAAACUGAGAGCCCCACGAAAGAAGUGCAACUACGUCAUGCACCAGAUCUCAAUUUCACUGGUGACCAUGUUGUGUUGUCCCCUGUUGGAUCAUCAGUUGGAUUUCCUUCUGAAAAUCAUCAACCUGGUCAUUGUAGUGCUGGAAACUUCGAUGCCCUAGACUCUCUUUCAGAUCUCAGAGGUGAUUAUGAAGCUCACCUCCUUAGUUUGAGCCAUGGCCGGUGGUGCUACGAAUACGUACCAACUUCUCCAGUUCCGCCUAUAUCUCCAGUAAUGUUCAGUCCGGUCCAGAAAAAAAAUUAUUGGGACGGAACGAGACGACCGGCUCAUUACAGGCAGAAUCUCAAUGGAGUAAGUCCGAGGCCUGUGCUUAAUUCGAUCAAUCCACCCUUUCUGCACGGUCCAAUGUUUGCUAUGGAAGAGGUAUCGAAGCAACGAGGAACCGGGACAUACUUCCCAAAAGUGGUAUGCUUUUUUGAGUUCGAAAUUUGAAUUUUUAACGUUGAAACUCUGUCUUGGUUGGUCUUAUUGUGAUUUGGCUGCUUAUAACUGGUUUUUGUGAUAAACGUUGCAGAACCAUUACAGGGACAAGUCUUUGACGCCGAGGGGAAGUAGUCAGGUGUCACUACGGUCUCCUCGUACCAAUGGCUGUAUCGCUACUUCUCAGGAGCCUAACUUUUCAGAAAGAAGCAGAGGGCAGCUAUGUCCAGGUUCUGCUGUUGGACCGGAUACACUGCAGUCAAAACCUCCAGCCGUUGAAAGGUAACGGGUUAUAAACUUUAAAGUAGCGACAAGCAUCAACUUGCAAUGGAUUUCUGCUGGACUUAGUUGCAUUCAACUUUUUAGACCUCCCAAGUCGUAUCAACUUUUCAAGACGCAUUCGAUGAUUUCUCGCCAUUAUCAGCUUUGCUAACUCGAAAAAGCUGCUCGAGCUGGCUGACAUUCGGUUUCGGGUUGAUUCGAAUGUCUCUGUUAGAGUGAUUUAAUGCUGGUUUGAAGUAUAUGGAUAGAAAGUUAUAUGGAGUGUAGGGUUUGUUUGUAUGUAUAGUAUAUGGAUUGUAAUUGUAUAAUUUUGGGAGCCGAGGUUGAUAUAGAUAGAGCAAUAGAUUCUAACUCUGUGAUGUAAACUUAAAACUGGGGGAUCAGUUGUAUGUUGUUGUUUUGUUGAGUAGAACUAGAAUCUGUUGAUUUUGAAGCAAGUGGCUGGAAAAUGGCUAUCUUUAUUUCUCAGCCACCCUAAUAGUGAAGCCAUCACAAGAAUCUAAGGCCGACAUCAUUGUGAUGAUGAUGAUGAUGGGAAAUGGUAAGUUUGUGUCAUCAUUGUGUCGGUUGAGUACGAGUUGUGGUUCGAUUUUCAACAUCCACUUUAGACACGCGAGCAUUAAGAAGUUUGGUAUUCAAACGAAAGCUCAACCCCGAAAUUUGGACUGCUAUUUUACAGGUCUCGUCUGGACUGUAUCGAAGAUCAUUUCAUUCUGGAAAUCUGUUACUAUAAUAAACUCUUAAACUAUGGCGACUGUGACAUCGUUGGCGUGGUCACAACCUACUACAAUUAACAAAAGAGUUGAUUCAUGUCAAUUCAACCUUGGUGUCCGUUCCUAGUAUGUACAAAAAGGGACGUUUAAGAAAGGGUAGUAAAGGUAAAAGUAAAGAUGAAAGUGACAAUAGGUACUGAAAUCGAAAGACAAAGUUGAGUUUGAUUUGUUUUGUUCCAUUGUCCAGCCUCACAUCAGCGGAAUCCAAUUCAAAGCCAGAGGUUGGACGGGAUCUGAUGGGCGCUAGUUGAUCCGCUUGGUUAACCGGCAAACAUGUAAUAUUUUUGCGACAAGAUUCUCCGAUUUAUUCACAUGAGGUUUUUGUUUUUCUCCGAUCCUGUAGUACCCGACGGCAACAUUUUCCUGAUUUAUAUUGAGAAAGUGCAAGAUAGAGGUGCAAUUCUUCUCUAAUCGAUUUUCAAACUAUUUGAUCGUUUUAGUAACAAAAUCGUCAAUUAUUUAAUUUAGUAUCUUGUUGUUGCUGCCAACACACGCCAAAAAUACCAAAAGAAACAUUAUCCAUGACUGACUACUGCAUUAACAUAUAUAUAUACGUAAGCAUAGCAGGCUUCCCCCAUGGCUCUGCCAAUGUCACGCCACUUGCUAUAUAUAUAUAUUCCAACUUCUCUAUAAUCUUGUAUACAACUAAUGGCAUUUUGUGCCCGAUUCUAGUUAAAAUUUUGAGCUAUUGUGAUUGUUCUUUUCUAAACAACUUCUGAAAUUGUGUCGUGUUAGCUAGUUAUCUGCAUCCUCACCCUAGCGUAACAAACUAACUACAUAUUGGAAGUCGAGGUGCAUAUAUAUGUAUGAUUUGGUACACUUUCCUUGAAGUUAUAUAGAUAUAUGUCACAACAACCCUCAACUAUACAUAGUUAAUCGCACAUGUGUUCAUCAAGUAGAUGAAUAACAGCAUUAUCCGGCCCAAUCUUGGACUAAAUCCCCCUACAACUGCUUGUCCCAUCUGUGGAUUAACUGAGCCGUUUUGAGUUGAGGGAUUAUCCAUUCUGAAGAUACAUUGUUACAUAAAUCAGUAUAUUUUUGUGUCAGAGACCAAAUUCAAACAUUUAACUUAACUUGAACUAAGUGGAAAUUCUUUUCCUUUUUAUAACUGCAAACUAGCAUACGUGCUUUUAUAUUAUCGUGGAAACAAUUAAGAAUAUACACCGUAUGAAGGGUUCCUGUGAGGUGCAAUCUACAAAUAGGUCAUAUCGAGGAGGUAUCUAACCAAAAAUUAAGAUACAUCACAUCCUACAAAUACUUCUCAUAACUAAAUCAAAACUAUACUAUUAGCUCAUAACACUAGAUACUAAAAACACUAGAUAUGAAAAAAACAAGACCCUACCGGAAAUAGAAAAUGGAAAUUCUUUUAAUUUAGAACUCGAUCAUGAUUCAUUUUUCAUACAAAAUGUCGAAAUUAAAUACAUAUAAAAUCUAAAAUUAUAUACAUUUUGUGUAUAAUUAUUACCGUAUAAAUUUCGAUUGACCGAAAUCCUAACUACGCCACCAAACGGGAAAUGAACACUACUACAUAAAUUUUAUGAGUGAGCUUGAUUGCUGUUACAUGCACUCCUCCCAUUCCAAUGACGAUAAGAACCAGUAAACCACCGGCAUACACAGUGCUGCCACGUGUACAUAAAUACUGAUUUUAUAUUUAUUGCGUCAGCAGUUGCUUAAGUGGAAGAAAAAAAAAACAACCAUGAUUAGAAUUGAUGACAAAGCAACAGUGCCAAAUCAGCAACUUGACCCCUUUACUUUUAUAUUUCAAUUCCAAUAAUCAAUUGAACCGGUCUCAUUCACCUUGUGUCAACUCACCCUCCUGGCCGCUCGAAUAUAUCAUAGAAGCCAAAUUCUUUGUUUAAACCGAUUUGUUGAACCGAAUUGCACCUCAAAUCGGACGAACGAGAAGUUCAAGAAUCGAUGGUUCAAUCAAGUUUAGAGACUACAAAAGUAGUAUAGAUUCAAAUGGUUUUGAAGGUGUUAAUGAUUCAAUUAUAACAAUUUAUAAGGUUUUUUAGAUAAGUUUUUUAAGGGGCAUAUCAAUCAGAAAAUUUAAAUAUUUCAACAGAUUUGAAAUUAAAUUAAAAUGGCACAUAGUUUUUAACUUAUCCACAAAAUUAUCAUUCUUUAUUUAUCUGUCAUCCGAAUAUAAACUUGUCACUAGUGCAAAAUUUAAGAGUUUUUAAUUACAAGUGAGAUAUAUAAUUGGUAAAACUAAAUCAUGAUAUGAUUAAUGAACAUUAUGUAUAGCAUCAACUUCAUAAGUAAAUAGCUUUUGAUCGAUAGACAAAAUUACGUAUGCUUGAUUCGACAACACAAUUAAUUUUUUCCUCAAAAGUAAGUAAAUGAAAGUUGAGUCAAAGUUCAAAAAACUACAAACAUAACGUAGGAUGGAUUCUGGUCGAAAAUUCUACCGACCCAAACUGUGCAUCAUUUAUCCUGAUUGAAACAGGAAACCAUGGAAAAUCAAACCCAAAAAACCAAACAAGCCAAAACCAAAACCUUAAAGGAAAAAAAACAGAGGCAUGAUUCAUCCGUUGAAUAAAACUGACAUUAGUUUAUCAAUAAUGAUUUAAAUACAUUGGGCAGUAAUCAAGCAGACGUUUUUCUAUUCCAAUCUCCCAACUCUCACCUUCCACCCUUGCAUCCCGUUGAAUUUGCUUUGAUUGUUCGCCGGCGCCGGAGGAAACAAACCAAAAACAGAAAAGCUUCAAACUUCUUCCCAACCCUGUUCCUGAAAAUCAGAUGGUGAUACCAGGAAUCGGCCACAGGUUCUUCAAGUUCAGAAUCCCCGAUCGUCUCCUCUAAAAAAUUCCCAACUUCUCCACAAAGAUUCCUCCUUUUCUCACGGCGGUUUGUUUUCCGGCAAGGGGACAGAAAGAUGGUCGCGAAGAGCUACGACGGCUGCGUGCGGGGAAAAAUGAGGAUGGCGUGGAUAAUGCUGAGCGUUGAUUACUGGAGGCUGUUUCGUAUACUGUUCGGCGUCUUUUCCUACGAGAAUCCCGAAGGGAAGCCUCGGAUCAUCUUCCUCUAGCUAUAACCCCCCCAGUUGUUUCAUUUUUAGGAUAUUAGGAUUCCAAAUUUGUCUCUACCGCUACUAAUACUACUAGUGGAAAUCAAUUGUGUUUGUUUUAUAUAAAAAGCACACUCAAAGACCCGAUCUUUGUUCCUGAUUGAGUGAAGAAAUGCACAAUUCUAAGCUGCUGAUGAUGCAACACCAUGGAUACGCUGAGACUGACCCUUCUGGUAGAUACGGCCGUGUAAGUUCUUUUCGUUUCUAUCAUUUGUUACUUCUGCUGAUGGUUGUGUAAGCUGUUGGAAAUGAUCGAUAUAGCACGAAUUUCGAAUUUUUGGGUUGUGAUUGUGUCGUAUUUGUCUGUACGUUGCGAGAUUUUGCUGUUUCGAAUAGUAUAUAACUGGUUACACAUAUAUAGCAGAAUCUAGGAGGAAGAUUGAGAAACUAUGCUAUCUGAUGUUGGGUAGCCUGUUCGAAAAGGACAGAUAUGGCAGGAAUUUUCGGGUUUCUCGGGUUGUAAUUCUGUCGUAUUUUGUCAGUAAAUUGCGAGAUAGGGUUCGAAUUGGAUAUGAUCAUGUGCUUAGCCUAAUGGAACGUUCAUGUACUAGAAAAUGAUGUUUGAGCUGACUGUCAAAUGUUCCUGCUAAAAAAUGACAGAUAUGGCACGGAUUUUGGGGUAUUCGGGGUGAAAUUUUGUUGUAAUUGUGUCUUUAAGUUUGCGCGAUUUUUCAAAUUGAGUGUGAUCAUGUGUUUAGCCUAGUUGAAUCUAUUUACUGGAAAAUAAUGUUUGACCUGACUAUCGAUUGUCAGAAUGUAGAUGAGAAAUGAUAUGAACAGGAAGUUUCAGAGAUUUGGUUUCUGGUCCAAUUGUGAUCAGUGAGCAAACCGGUUUCGGUUUUAUGAUUGAUGUUCUUCUGUUACUGCAGUUCAAGGAGGUUCUUGGGAAAGGUGCGAUGAAGACCGUGUACAAGGCAUUUGACGAGGUACUUGGAAUGGAGGUAGCCUGGAAUCAAGUGAAGCUCAACAAUGUAUUUCGCUCGCCUGAUCAUUUGCAGAGGCUCUACUCAGAAGUUCAUCUCCUGAAGAAUCUCAAGCACGAAUCCAUCAUCAAGUUCCAUGCUUCGUGGAUCGACAGUACUCGAAGGACGUUCAACUUCAUCACUGAGAUGUUCACCUCCGGCACCCUACGAGAGUAAGUAAUACAGACAAACGCAUAUAAUAAGCCGAUCUGAUGCUUCCGGUGUGAUUCUGCAUUUCUGAUAAGUGAUGUUGUUGCAGGUACAGAAAGAAGUACCAGAGAGUAGAUAUCCGAGCAGUGAAGAACUGGUCGAGGCAAAUCCUGCACGGACUUGUUUAUCUGCACGGCCAUGACCCGCCUGUGAUCCAUAGGGAUCUCAAAGGUGAUAACAUCUUCAUCAACGGCCAUCUGGGACAGGUCAAGAUUGGCGACUUGGGAUUAGCAGCGAUUCUUCGAGACUCGCAACACGCGCAUAGUGUCAUAGGUACUCCCGAGUUCAUGGCACCGGAACUAUACGAAGAAGAGUACAACGAGCUCGUAGAUGUAUACUCAUUCGGGAUGUGUGUUCUGGAGAUGCUAACUUCUGAGUAUCCCUACAGUGAAUGCUCGAAUCCCGCUCAAAUCUACAAGAAAGUGACCUCUGGGAAGCUGCCCGAGGCGUUCCACAAGAUCAAGGAUGCUGAAGCGAAGAAGUUUGUCGGGAAAUGUCUCGAGCCUGCUUCGAAGAGAUUAUCAGCUAAAGAGCUACUCUUGGAACCGUUUGUAGCACUUGGUGAUGAACCAGAAUUGCUACCAGUCUCAAAGUUUUCGUCUUUUCGAAGCUCCCCGGCUUCUAGCUGUGAAAGUGAGGAGAUGAUGAUGACGACAAUGACGAUGAUGAUGCUGUCUUUGCAGGAUGAUCAUCCUGAAACUACGGAUAUGACGAUUACAGGAACUCUGAACCCUGAACACGACGCUGUUUUCCUCAAAGUCCAGAUUUCUGACUGCAGUGGCAUGAAACACGUUCCAUGCUCUCGUUUAUAAUUCUGUUCUUAAAGUAGUCAGAAUUCUGAUUUUGAUCUUAAAAUCAAUCUUAUUUAUUUAUUCUGUUGAUAUAUUUUGAUUAGUUUUUAAUCUCUCUUGACUGUCCAUUUUCAGGGCAUACCAAGAACAUACAUUUCCCCUUUGACAUAACUGGAGACACAGCGAUCGAUGUUGCGAUGGAAAUGGUGAAAGAGCUGGAGAUCAGUGACUUGGAACCAAUCACCAUCGCCAAGAUGAUAGAAGACGAGAUAUCUUCUUUAGCUCCGACAUGGAAACAACAAGGAACCUUCAUUUUCCACCAGCAGCAGCAUAGCUUUAGCUACGUGGAUGAUGCAGAAGAGGAAGAAGAAGAAGAAGAAAUCGGCAACCACAAAAAUUCGGAAGGAAUCUAUCAUCCAUUCUACUCGACCUCCCCUUCCUCGGACGCUUCCUCCUCCAACAGAGCUUCUCUGUUGGCCUUCAACAGCUCCUCCUCUGAGAGUCCACGUUAUGAGGAUUGCACUACACCAAUUGUCACUUUAGGUACACAUGGUCCAACUGUCUCCUAAAUGUUUUAGUAAAAAUUUGAGAUUAUAUAUAUAGUUGUUAAAUGGAUGGACGGCCUGAGUUACUUGGAUUACAAGUCAACAUGGUCAUAUGCUUCUCAAAAGGGUUAUGAACCAAUUGAGUUGUGGGUCCAUCGAGUUACACAGAAUUGAGUUUUGGACUUGUAACGUGGUCUUUGUGGAUAACCGUUGCAUCCUAAUAACUCGAGUUUUGGGAGAGAUUCAUAUAACCAUACCCUCAAAUGCAAGCUCAUGGAAGGGUACUGAAGUUUAUGUAGGUCCACCAAGUCUUGUACAAGUAAAAUGUUUAUAUUGAUGCCUAAGGAUUCGGUUAUGAUAUCAUAUGGAGAACCGUUGCAUCUCAAUAACUCGAACUGUUGGGAGGGGUUCAUAACUGGUGUAUAUACCAUUGGUUAACUCGAAUGACUUGUGAAUCGUUAACUUUUAGCCAAUUCUGUUACUCGGUUGAUUUAAGUGGAUUAAUCAGGUUCAGUCAGAUGCUGACAGCACUAAUUAUGGAUCGAAAAUGGGUAAAAAAAAUGCAGGGAAGCUGCUACAAGAUGAUGCAGAUGACUUGAGUUCGGAGAGCUCUUACAACUACUCAACAGUCUCUUACUGCUCCGGAAACGAAGACGAGCAUAAUCGGCCAGAAGAAGAACAAUCUAUAGCUAAGAUUGACCAGUCGGAAAGCUGCAAAGGAGGAGGGUGUAGGAUGAUGCCACCGGGGAGGAAGAAGAAGCUGAGCCGAAUACGAUCGGUGUUGGAUAUGAGAAGCCAGUUGCUGAACCGGUCGUGGGUGCAAGAGAUGAACAAGAAGCGUUUGUUCAAGACUGUGGGAGCAGUUGAGAACAUUGGAUAUCAUGACUGGAACCCUUCUGCUUCUUCCUGAUGAUGAUAAUGAUGAAAAAAAAAAACAAAACUGGGAUUUUUUUGCUGUGUGUUGUAAUUGGUGAAGUGUUCUGAAGAUAAGACUGUUUUGUCAUUGUGUUUUGGUGUGGUUUCAUAAUAAGCCAGAGAACAUUUUGGUGACAGAAUGACUUAGUUUAGAAUUUUAAGGUUGUGAUUGAUUUUGUUUGCAGAGUUAUAUUCAUUAUAGGGUAGAAAGUUCAUGUUGGUGUUUUGUCUGAGUAUGAGUUGUGUUUUUUUAUUCUACAAUGAAAGCUUAGGAGAUCCUUACUUGAUGGUUUCUGUUCUUUAUUCCCCUGAAGUAAAAUUGUAAUUUAGAGUCUUAGGGAUUAAUCUAGGAUGUAUAUAUUUUCGAAAUAACAAGGAUGACGAUUACAGGAUAUGGGUUCUAGACAGAUUAAUCUCUAACUUUAUUUCAUUUGCGUUAUUUCAUGCAUUUUAGGGGUCAGGUGACUGCAAUGUGUGGGUUUUUCAUACCUUUAUUGAAGGCAAUCAGAUUGCAGAUUUCGUUGCCCAACCAUGGACACUCAUUGCCUCUUGGUUCUUGCCGUCUUUCUACCAUUCCUCACGGCAUUGCAUGCUGAGUGUAGUAAGACCGACAUUACGAGUGUUACUUUCCUUCAUACCCGAUUACCAUACCAGAUACCCGAUUAUUCCAAAUUCAAAGAUCAAUUUGUCGAUUACGUUUCUGAUUCACUCUCAGAAUAAUUAUUUGAAAAAAUAGGACCAUAACUCUCUCACUACACUAACGCACCAUCGCGCAAAGUCAUCAACCACUAGGUCAUUCUUCCACAGAUAUGAAGGCAGAGGGUUAGCUGAAACGUAGCCAUCAUUUAGUCACACAUGCACUGUGAUUGUCAAAAAAAAAACACACUGUGAUGAGUGGUUGAUGCUGAGAUUCGAUUAGUUGGGGAAACCAAUCCCUUGAUUAAAGCCAGAAUAAUUGCAUGUGAAAAUGGUUAGUUGAGACGUCCAUAUAAUAUGAAAUUUUGCAAAUGGGUCCCUCAUCAAACAACAUCAGAUUUCGUUAUUACAAAGACAACACGAGAGAAUUGGAUUAGAGAAAGGACGACAUAUAUACAUGUCGAUCCUCCUACACUGACGUUCUAAUCCAAGCAUGUGGAUUUUCAUGCUAUGUUCAUCAGCAUAUAUCAACUAUUAAUUACUCAGAGGACCAAUUUGAGGUUUUGAAUUAAUUAUGGAUGAUUGUCUUUGCUCGAUAAAAAUUGCGAUCGAUCAUUACUUGAUUUAUUUUUCUAUUUUAUGUUAUAUUGGGAUAUCAACCCAAAUAUUAUAUCGAUAAGUUGGAUAUCUUUUAUGAAAGAAUUCAAAAACAAUUUGCGUCAACUUGGCUCAAAAUGUACAAUAGCAUAUUACUAUUUGUCUCGCCAAUAAACAACAUGUGUUGAGUGGUCAUGUCAUAUAUUUCGGUGUGAGACCUCUUUGAGUUUUGUCUUUAGAUAUACUUACUUAAAGGCAUUUUGUUUAGUUGUAGAGAUAAGAAUGGUCGAAGCUAAAAUCACUGCACGAGGCCUUUUGAUUAUAGUAGAGUGACAAAAUUUUAUGUAAAAAAUUUAAAUAUAUUAUCANNNNNNNNNNNNNNNNNNNNNNNNNNNNNNNNNNNNNNNNNNNNNNNNNNNNNNNNAAUAUAUAAAAUCUCCGAUUAUUCUAAUUUUGUUAUUGAAAACGAUUAUGAUGCACCCAUGUUAUUGUGAAUAGUGGACAUUUGGAUCUAUUUUUGACCACUAUGAAUGCUGUGACUUAAUGGAAGAUGAAUAAUGAUGUUGAAACUCAAUAAAACCUUUAUAACUUUUCAUUUACGAGACGUGGGUUGGCCAGAAAACGACACAUGUAAAAACAUCAAUGGUCCCAAAUUAUAAUACAUUGGACCUUUUCUUUGGUAUAAAAAUAUAUUGGACCUUAUUAGUUAGCUUUUCCCAUAUUGGCACUUUUGGGAUCAUCCUACCAGAAUGUAACUUUGGGAUUCAUAUGUAGAUUUUAUAACAUUCUAUUCGAUUUAGGUCCAAACAAUUGAUAUUUAUUUUUUAUUAAAUUAACAAAUCGCUCUAAAUGAAAUUAUGAGUUACUAAUAAUAAAUUUUUUUAUCAAAAUAGACCGCGACUUUCGGUCUAACUCCAAAUAAAAGACAAACUCAUAAUAAAACUCAUAUACUAGUACCAAUGUGAACGGAACCAAACAUAUAGAACAAAAAAUAUUCAUUACACGGCCGCCCACUCCUGACUGGAGACAACCGUAGAUUUAGGGACCAGAUUUGUUUGUCGCCGUCAUUAAUUUACUGCCACACGUGCACCUAUCCUAGUCAGUCUUAGUUUUUCCAGAAUUCCAAAUUUCUUCUUCUCCCGGCUGUUUGUCAAAAAUAUCUCGCAACACGACAAAACUUCAUCGCCGGAGUGGUAGUAAAUUCUAUUGUUAUUUUAAUAGGCGAUUUGAAUCCAACCAACCCGAUCAAACAUAAGUAUCUGUUUGCAGAUCUUUUGCUUGUAUAGAAACGAAAAUGUGCAUCUAACCGAUGAACUAAUGAAAUGGCUCGUGUAUUUGCUCUAAAAUAUUCUGGUCCACGAUGAUGUUAUUUAACCAAUGGAUACGUACUCAUGGUGAUCGAGAGGGAUUGGUGUAGACAAGCUAAGGUAACUGCAGAUUUCGAGAAAUGAAACGGUGACAAAAAAUAAAGAUAAAUAUUAUUAGUAUUAAAGAAUGAUUUUUCUCGUUCUGAUAUGUUUUACGAGUCUUUGAUAGAUAAUUAUUCGAUCGUAAAAUAAAUCACACAAGUAAGUAAUAAAAAAGAGUAUGAUAUAAGCGUAUUGUGAAACAUAUAUAUACUGGGUGUAUGCGCUUUGAGAGAAUAGACCUGCCUGAAGGAUAUAACUCCAUGUUUGAAGUGUAGCCUCGCCGUACUAAAGGUCUCGAGAAUUGUAGUUAAAAGUUGUCUUAUGUUCUUAAUGCAAAAGACUCAAGAGCCUAUUGUAAGGGCCACAUGGUGGCAUGACAUCAUUUUUUAUUAUGUGUCGGUCGUAUGAGUGAAUAGUAGGUGGAAACCAUAUGUGGAUUGUUAAGGAUGGACGAUCAUUAAUUUCCUAAGCAUGUGGUAUUAUAGGUAGACAAUUUAACCUUUGUACAUGGUGGCGUGCGCCCAUCUCUUGAUGGAACUGACGAAAGUCGGACCGCCGUGAGCGUGGGCGAACUGUCUCAUCAUAGUGACAGACAUGCAAGCCUCACAUCGAUUUGUCGGUCCGAUCGGUUAUUGUACUGGGCAAUCUGGGAGCAGGCCGUUGGGUCCAUAUAUCAGUUGUAAAUCCACAUCUCAAUCUCCUACUUAGCUCGAUGUGAUCCUCAAUUGGCAAUAUAGUGCUUAAUUAGGCCCGUAAUGAUAUUUUUGUUUGUGCUAGUCUCGAGAGAUGUAUGUAUAGUCACAGAGGAGCAUGCAUAUGUAUUCUGUAAUGAAAUGACAAGGCCUUGGGUUCUGAAAUCUGAUACAAGAAUGCCUUGUCUAAACUGAAAGAUAGAACGAAAUCACUGGUCGGUACGUAGGUGAUCAGUCAGCAGUCAGUUUAGACAGGAAUAUAACUGGCAGUAGCCCAGAAAUUGGCAUCUAAAUAAAGGAAAUUGGGUAUCGUAGUUGAGUGGCUAAAUCGAGCUGCAAUAAAUUUUUUCUUAGGGAAUGGCAGAAGAAAAGAACAUAUAUAGGCCCAGAAAAUUUGCAGAAUCUCCGGGUUCAUGUUCAGUCCUGCCGUCUCCUUAUGUCUUAUCUCUCACCUUCUUACUGUACUGUUUACUUCUUCAUUUACGUUGACCACUGACCAGCUCACCGACAAGUUCUUCUCCUCGAAGAUAUUUUGGGUUUGAAGUUCGAAAUUUAUAAUCAUUUCGGGUUUUAUGAUUAUAUCACUAGCCUCAUCUGAGUUGAAAUUUCAAAAUUUUUAUAAUGCUGACAUUAUUAAACUUGGUGCUCGUAGGAGUUUUUUGUUAUGAAAAAAAUCAUAUAAUUUAAAACUCAAUUUUACUUCAAUUUAAUUUUAUUAUAACUCUCGAAUCAGGAAAAAUCAUGUACAACGAUUGCCUAAAAUUGAACGACACAUGGGAGCGACUCAAAUGCAACAUGGACCCAAUCGAGGACGCAAACACAUAUGCCGACGGGAAUGAUCGAAGAGUGGUAUAUUACUCGGUAACUCAAGAACCAAAUUGAUAAAGUUUUCAUUUUACCUCAUGGAUUCAAGCUGAAGUAAGCUACCACAACAUUAAUCUCGAUAGAACCAACUCGAAUGCAGCACGAUCCAAAUCAACGAUGCGGACACAGAUGACGAACGGGAAUGAUCGAAGAUCAGCGGCAUCUUGCUCGGUGACUCAAAACCGAAAUUGACGUUUGUUGUUCGAUUUACAUAAUGGAUUCAAGCAUAUUGUAUAAUUUGUUACUGUAGAAGUGUAUCUGUUUCGUCACUUUGUUAAGACAUAGGGAACACUUAUAGAAGAUAUUACCAAACUUUAAUUGUUUGGAUUCACCAUGGGAUUCUCUCCCACCUCACCCUCCCUUACUUUGGCUUCAUUACCAUCCUACCUAGCCCCUACUCCCAACAGACUUUACUUUGUUUUUCACGAUUAAAAAGAAUCCUUUAAAUUCAAGUGGACUCGGCCUGCGUUGUUGCUAUUCUUUUCAAACCGGCUUCGAACGUGAUCAUGCACACGAAAUUGGUGGCGAGAUUCGAGCAUAUGCUUCAACGUCAAUAACAGGUCCGACUCACUCAUAUUUAUCUGGAGGGUAAUCACGUAGCUAAUGCCAUGGCGAAUCUUUGUCACCAUCUUCUGCUGGGUAUGCAUAAUACCCUCUCUCAAAUGGAAAACUCUCAAGCUAGCUCUUAUAUGAUUCUGUUGGAAGUUGCGAGGCCCGUCAAAUAGCGACGACUUAGCUCUAUUCUUUAUUUUUCCUCUAAAAAAGAGAAUCCUUUAAUUUCUUCCAAUAUUUAAUUAAAUUUAUUAAACACAAAACCUAAUAAACUUUUCUAAUUCAACAUUAAAAACGGUUUGCAAAAGUCAUUGAAUUUUACUAUAAUCAUCUAAAAUAUUAACUGAGACGAAACGACUUUUGACAUAAAUUUUAUAUAAUUCUCAAAAUAAUUAUUUUGUAAUCCAAUAAACCUACAAUUCGAUAUACAAUAAUUUGAUUUACACCACUCAUGACCUUCCCAACCCUUUUGUUGGACAACUUUACCAAACACUAACUCAUGGACAGAACAAUUUCUUAAAGAAACAUUCAACAUCUUCUACAUUCAGCAUAGAGAUAUACAAUAUAUUCGAUAGAGACUUGAAAAUACAGAAAAUAUUCUAUACAUAAAUGAAAUACACAACACCCACAUUUUAAACAAAGCCCAAAAUGUUAAAUAAGAAAAUCAAUUUAUCAAGAUGUUGUAACAUCUCCAAGAAAUAUAGAUGCAUGGACAAGUAAUUAAUAAAUAUAAAAUGUGGUUUAUUUUUCUUCAAAAGGUUGUUGGAUGUUUUCUCAUCCUACUCUUCCUAAUGACAGUGACACGUCAGAAACAAACAAAACACCCCAUAAAUAAAAGCAAAAGCAUCAUCAAAUUGAUUGGAUAUGACUAUUGAAAUGUUUGAUGUCUCCUCUUGCUUGUCCCUAUUUGACCAAUACUCGUAUUGUCCAAAUUGAAUAAACGUACACUUUUCACAUCCUAAUAUAAUAUGCCAAAGUGACACGAUCGUAGCUAGGGUGGGAAACCUGUUUCGGCCCUGUCAAAUUAAGAUUCGAACACCCUAAGUUUUCAGGCUUUUUGGGUAAUUCAUGUAUUCGAUUAUUAGCAUAUUUAUUCUCUUUUUAUUUGAAAUUUUUGGAUGUUUGGAUGCCUUAACACGUUCAAAUUCAUGAUGUUUGGUGCAUAUUUGGUUCCCCUUGGUCCCUUGGGCCGUGUUACGUUGCUUUGUAUGUUUUUGGUACAUUUUAGUUGUCAUAUGACGAUUUAGGAUGAAUCAAGCCUUGGCGGAGAGUCUGUAACAACUCAGUACGCUCGACUUGUGAAGAAAACGUCACUGUUUAGUAUUUUGAGCAUAACUCAUCACUCGAAAGUCCAAUUGAUGCAAGGCCAUCAAAGUUGAAAAGAUAAUUCGAUUGUUUAUAACUUUUAUGUUGAAGUCAUGGUGAAAUUCCGUAUAUUAAAACAACACGGCGUGUUGCAAUGGCAAACGGCCGUGUUCUUCAUAUUUAUGCUCACGGCCGAGAAGAGCUGAAGAAAGGACACAACCGUGUUCUUUUCGGACACGCCAUGUUCUCCGAAACAUGCCAUAUUUUAUGGAACACACUAUAUUUUACCUCCUAACGAGAUUUUUGAGCUUAAUCCUUCUCCAACUUGGUCUAGAAGUCUAUAAAUACGCAUGAGACCCCCUAUGGACGAGAUAUAUUUCAAAUAUACUUUAUUCCAAAUAGUUUUUCGAGAUAAAGAGAGAUAAAGAGUUCAAGAGAUCGAUGAAGCGAGAGAACAUCAACAAUUGGAGACAGGUCGAAGAUUGGCGACAAGACGGAGAUUUAUCGACGAAACAUGUUUUCUUCCCAGGUUAUUUUCCUUUCUUCUUCCCUUCUUAUUUCCCGAACCAUGAGUAGCUAAACCUUUCGUGUUGUUUGGAUGAGAUGAAACUUUAGUUUAACUUUUGUAUGGAUGAUGGGGUUUUAAAGUUUUGAUUUGGUAUCGAGGUUAUUCAGACAUAUGAUGUGUUUUUGCUAAACUUAAUUUCUGAUUCAAUUUCGUUUGAUCGCCCUAAUUGAAUCAUCGUUAUUGAUUUGUGGAUCCGAGAGGAACAUAGAUUGAUAGGUCGCUUAGGAAGAACUCUAGAUUGUUCGUUAGCUCGAGAGAGGAAUGGAUCGUUUAGGCUUUUCGCAUCAUUUAUCGUUGUGGCGUUUCAUCGAACACCUUUAGUGCGUUUUGGUUAGGUGUAGAUUAGCUCGAGAGAGGAGUCUACGGUUGAGUAGAAUAGAUCCUUAGAGGCACGAGAGUGAUCUAAGACUAUCGUAGAAUAUCGUCAAGCUAUUAUAACCUGAAUAUUGAGAUAACUUAUCGUUCAUCCAUGCAUUGCUAGUUUUAGUGGAUUCAAAUCCGAACAACCUUGAUUCCAUAUUUGAAACUCAAUCUCUUGCAUUUUCUUUCUUUUGAUUUGCAUUCUUAGUUUAUAAUUGGUCACUUCAACAAACAAGCAAACAAUCAUUCACUGAUUCUUGGUUUAAUUAGCAUAAUCAAUUUGAGUAAUAACAUUAGAAAGACUCUAGAACAAUAAACGAUUUCAUUAAUUAAUUCUAGUAGGUAUUUGAUAGCGGGGUAAAAUCCGCUCGUUAGUAACACUUAAAAAGGCCGAUCUAGCCAAGAGUUUGAUCCUUCAACCACUUUACCGUUCAUAACCUUUCUUAUUCUUUCGCCUCUUCCUUCUUUUCAUUGGAUCGAUGUGGAACAACACAGGUUUGGACGGAGGGUACUACUGUGUGACAAGCUAGAUAGUUUUGACACCGUCGAGAUGUUAAAAUAUCCAAUCGGGCUUAACCAUUACUAACACUAGACUGGUCAAACCAAACUUCGGACACUCAAAAUCCCUAGUUGGGAGCAAAUGACCGGAACCCGUAUUGGUCAAAUUGCUAGAUACGGACUUCUAGUCACUCCGGAUAAAACUCGGGAAAAGAAACGAACCGGGUCAAAAUGUAAGAUUUAGCCUGAUCGACCCAAUCCAACCGAAACUCCACCUGGCAGUAUACCGUACUUCUACAGAUGACUGGAUUGUUUGUUUUAAUUUUAAAACUCAAGUCUUACAUUAUUGAGACCAUAAAAGAAAAAACUAAUGUUGAGACUCUCAAUUAUGAUCAACAACUUGAAAGGAGUGUAAUGUUUGACUAGUUAUUUUUGUUAGGUUUCUACCCAGCUACCAAUAGGCCUCACGAGCUUGGAAACUGACGACAGAGUCGGUACGUCGACAAUGGCCAGAGAAGCACAAAUAGGGUGAAUGUCCAAAACGAAACAGAGCAACCAAAACCCAACUAUACCAUGAACUCUUGCAUGGAGAGCACCCUUUUUUGUUCUUAUCCGUCAGAUUCGUACUCAAUAAUUUAUCAAACUCGAGUUUAUUAGUGGUUAAGACUUGAGCGGAGAUAUGAAACUGAUACUUUUUAUAAAACUCGGAGUUAUGCUAUGUAUUUUUUUAUCAUCUAAUACAAGGUAAUUUCUCAACCAAACAGAGACAUGGAGAAUAAAUUUAAAUUUUUUUGUUAAAUUAAAACUCACAAAGUAGGGAAUUUCUAAAAGUUGGGCAUGUAUUUUAGUUAGUUUAAUCCAAGUUAAACUCCAAUCUUGCUUUUUCAAGAAGCCUUUUGUGAGUGGCUGAGAUUCCCUUACUGACCCUAAGCUAAAGUCUAAUCCUAAUCCAGAUAAAUCCUGAAUCCCUUGCGCAUGGCAAAAAAUGGUAUGCUUUACGACUAUUUCCCAACCUGAAAAUCUUCAGCUUUUUCCCCCAAAGUUACACACCAAACAGUACCCUGCAAGCAACAUCAGUACUGCUACUACAAACCUUCAAAAGUACACAACAUGCCUACUUACCCAAAGUACCAUUUACCAACAUAAAGCUCCAUCCUUCCUUAAAAGCAUAUCUUCUUUACGUGUUGGAAGUCUGUGUCUUCUAUCUAGGGCCGGAAAUCGGGGCAGGUUCGGGUAUCGUUUUCAAAAAUUCUUAGACCCUGAACCACUUCUAGGGCAGAAAGUCGAGGUGAGUUCAGGUACGGUUUUCGAAAAUGUGUAACCCCCUCUCAAACCAUGAACUCAUUCAGACAUACGGGUAUUUAUCCAUAUAUUGGAAUAGUUAUUACGAAUUUGGAUUAAGGUAUUCGUCGAUACCUAACUUGAUCCAUCUGGCUUUUAAAUUUUAACAAAAGAAAGAACUAACCUACAUUUGAGUAGUAUAGUCCCGAAAAAUGAGUGAAUGGUAGUUGGUAUAUAUGGUACUUGUCUGUUACCGUAUUGACACGUUUUAUACGUCAUUUUAGGAUAGCAGUACCAUGUUUAAAGUUCGGCAUAUGUUAUAAAAUUUUAUAAAUUUAUAAUUUUAAAAAUGAAUAAAAGUUGAAGAGUUUAUUAAAAUAUCAAUUCUUAUCUUUAAAAUACGUGUUUUAUAUGUGAAGUAUCAAAUAAAUAUAAAACUAUUAAAUGGUUUUAUAAUAAUACAAGUACGGAAGUUUUAAAAGAAUUUAUUAAAUGAUAUUAAUUGGAUUUUUGCUAACUAACUAUUUCAUGGUUUUUUGGGUUUGGGUUUGCUUUCAUAGCUUGGUAAGUAAGGUUAGGUCGGAAAGAUAACCCGGAUCAAUGAGGUAAAUCCAAUCGGAUAGCGAGUGCCAUCGGAUAAGAAGAAGUAAGAAUCUUACACCAAAACCAGUUUGAGUUCAAGGUUGGAUUCGAGUAUACCCGAUACCAGUCGGGUAGAUUUCGAUCUUUAGAAAAACCCAACAGACCCACCAAGCUAAGAGUUCAAAAAUAACAGGAUAAGAAGAAUAAAAAACCAGAGACAGCAAGAACAGGGGAGGACUCUUAAUGUACAGUUUCAUAUCAUUACUAAACUAAAAAUUAAGUUUCUUGAUAAUCAUUACAAUUUGGUCAAAUGGACGAACCAGAUUUCCUUGAACACUUUGAUGAUAACAUCAUGAUACUCUUCCGAAUUUAGACACAAGUAACAAGCCAAAAGGUCUUCCAAAUCUUUGGACCUGCUAAUGUUAUUCUCCACAAUCAUCUCCACCAUCGACUCCAUGAAGUCCAGCUGUGGAUCCGACGACGAUUUCACCACCGCCAUACAUCCCGAAGAUGUCAGAGAACAGCUAGAGCUCAAGUUCGUCGAAGAACUCGAACUCGAACUCGAACUCGAGCUCGAGCUCAAGCUUUUUCUUCCUUGCUGCUGCGAUUGAACUCUCAUGUACCCGAUUCUGGGAGACUUGACCCGGAGCUUUAUCCCUGGAGAAUUCGUCGACGAAGAUUGCUUUCUUAUAAAUGAUGAUCCUUUUUGCUCUUUGCCGACAUUGAUGGACAGAGGUUUCUGAAUCGAGCUGCUCCUCUGUUUCUUUACACCUUCAAUGCUAUCGUCGAAGCUCGACGGCUUGGUCAAAAUGGGGACCAGAUCUCGUUGAGGCAUUUUAUCAUAAACAAUGUCGUUAGGGCAGCCGCAGGAAUUAUUGCUUGAUCUGGAGGACACCAUCUUAUCGAACGAAUCCGUCCUGAGCGAACAAUCCGACCUGAAUUCCGUAUCGGAUGCGGAAACAGAGCAAUCCGUAACCUCCGCCGGCAGCGGUGGAGGCGGUGUCAAGUCCGAUUUCGCCGUGGGUGGCCGGUGGUUGACGACGCGGCACGCGGGUGGCCAGUGGUUAACGACACGGCAACUGCAGCCGCCGGAAACAGAGAAGAAAACGAGGUCGGGAGAUGGCCUGACAGCGGCGGAUUUCUUCUUGGGUGGUAGUUGCCUGGACGAUUUCUUUCUGGGAGAAUUGGGGAGCUUUGGCUGUGCUGAUGAACUUGGUGGUGAUGAUUUGAGCUCUCUGGUAAAAUAAUAAGACUUCCUCGUUCCAGUCGGAGGAGGGGGAGGCGUGGGCUUACGAUGGCGGCGGGUUGUGUCGGAAGCAUUGGCGGCGGACGUUGGCGGCGGCCGUGUGUUUGAGGUUGUGGAACCAGGCGUUUGGGAUCAUGUCGGAGAAUCUAAACCGGAGAUUACCCAUAGGUGUGUGGUUGUUUGAGAGAGAGAGAGAGAGUGGUUUUGGGUUUUGGAUUUUGGUUGAAGGAAAUCAUAAAUAGAGAGACUGAGAGGGGAGUGAGUGGGGCAAAAAGAGUGACAGAGAAAGGAGAUGGUAAAGUAGUUUACCC
rnacentral:lncRNA from 1 species